UGAGGAAUAUUGGACAAUGGGUGGAAGCCUGAUCCAGCCAUCCCGCGUGAAGGAAUAAGGGCCUAUGGCUUGUAAACUUCUUUUGUACAGGGAUAAACCUACCCUCGUGAGGGUAGCUGAAGGUACUGUACGAAUAAGCACCGGCUAACUCCGUGCCAGCAGCCGCGGUAAUACGGAGGGUGCAAGCGUUAUCCGGAUUUAUUGGGUUUAAAGGGACCGUAGGCGGGCUUAUAAGUCAGCGGUGAAAUCCGACAGCUUAACUGUCGAACUGCCAUUGAUACUGUAAGUCUUGAGUGUAUUUGAAGUAGCUGGAAUAAGUAGUGUAGCGGUGAAAUGCAUAGAUAUUACUUAGAACACCAAUUGCGAAGGCAGGUUACUAAGAUACAACUGACGCUGAUGGACGAAAGCGUGGGUAGCGAACAGGAUUAGAUACCCUGGUAGUCCGCGCCGUAAACGAUGCUUACUCGUUUUUGGAGCGCAAGUUUCAGAGACCAAGCGAAAGUGAUAAGUAAGCCACCUGGGGAGUACGUUCGCAAGAAUGAAACUCAAAGGAAUUGACGGGGUCAUAACUGUUUCCUG
rnacentral:rRNA from 1 species